AUAAUUAUCUGGUUUUCUAGACCCGAACUCAUCUCUAUUUACUUCCUCACCAUAGCUACUCCAAUUUUGGGCGUUCUCGGCUAGGUCAACAAGAAAUUCAUAGGCUUGAUCCGGGGUUUGGUCCAUGAACCUACCUUUGUGCAUGGACUCGAUCAUGUUUCUAUAUGCCGGAGGUAGUCCUUUAUAAAAGAAAUGUACUAGAUCAGCCUUGUCAAGCCCAUGGUGCGGGCACUUGACCAAAAGAUCAUGGAAUCUUUCCCAAAGUUGGAAAAAUUUCUUCUCAGAUUUUUCUCUAAAAGUUCUGAUGGCAUCUUUAAUUUUUUCAGUUUUUACCAUGGGAUAGAACUUAGCCAUGAACUUCCUAGAUAGUUGUU
rnacentral:lncRNA from 1 species